rnacentral:rRNA from 1 species
GAACGCUGGCGGCGUGCCUAAUACCUGCAAGUCGAGCGAACAGACGAGGAGCUUGCUCCUCUGACGUUAGCGGCGGACGGGUGAGUAACACGUGGAUAACCUACCUAUAAGACUGGGAUAACUUCGGGAAACCGGAGCUAAUACCGGAUAAUAUAUUGAACCGCACGGUUCAAUAGUGAAAGACGGUUUUGCUGUCACUUAUAGAUGGAUCCGCGCCGCAUUAGCUAGUUGGUAAGGUAACGGCUUACCAAGGCGACGAUGCGUAGCCGACCUGAGAGGGUGAUCGGCCACACUGGAACUGAGACACGGUCCAGACUCCUACGGGAGGCAGCAGUAGGGAAUCUUCCGCAAUGGGCGAAAGCCUGACGGAGCAACGCCGCGUGAGUGAUGAAGGUCUUCGGAUCGUAAAACUCUGUUAUUAGGGAAGAACAAAUGUGUAAGUAACUAUGCACGUCUUGACGGUACCUAAUCAGAAAGCCACGGCUAACUACGUG